CACGUAGGGCGCAAGCGUUGUCCGGAAUUAUUGGGCGUAAAGAGCUCGUAGGCGGUCUGUUGCGUCCGCUGUGAAAACCCAGGGCUCAACCCUGGGCCUGCAUUCGAUACGGGCAGACUAGAGUUCGGUAGGGGAGACUGGAAUUCCUGGUGUAGCGGUGAAAUGCGCAGAUAUCAGGAGGAACACCGGUGGCGAAGGCAGGUCUCUGGGCCGAUACUGACGCUGAGGAGCGAAAGCGUGGGGAGCGAACAGG
rnacentral:rRNA from 1 species